rnacentral:rRNA from 1 species
GAUGAACGCUGGCGGCGUGCCUAAUACAUGCAAGUCGAGCGAACAGACGAGGAGCUUGCUCCUCUGACGUUAGCGGCGGACGGGUGAGUAACACGUGGAUAACCUACCUAUAAGACUGGGAUAACUUCGGGAAACCGGAGCUAAUACCGGAUAAUAUAUUGAACCGCAUGGUUCAAUAGUGAAAGACGGUUUUGCUGUCACUUAUAGAUGGAUCCGCGCCGCAUUAGCUAGUUGGUAAGGUAACGGCUUACCAAGGCAACGAUGCGUAGCCGACCUGAGAGGGUGGUCAGCCCCACUGGAACUGGGACACGGUCCAGACUCCUACGGGAGGCAGCAGUAGGGAAUCUUCCGCAAUGGGCGAAAGCCUGACGGAGCAACGCCGCGUGAGUGAUGAAGGUCUUCGGAUCGUAAAACUCUGUUAUUAGGGAAGAACAAAUGUGUAAGUAACUAUGCACGUCUUGACGGUACCUAAUCAGAAAGCCACGGCUAACUACGUG